rnacentral:misc_RNA from 1 species
AUGAAAAUUCCACACCAUUAUUGAUUAUGAAUUUCUAGCUUGGAAAUCAAUUCCAAAGAUUCCAAUCAUAUCAAAUUCUAUAUCAACUCAAUAUGAUAGAGGGCACCACUUCAUUACUGUCUUUUUCCUUUUCCCACUAGAUUGUGAUAAACUGAAAAGGCAUGUGGGUUAACUAAGUAACCUGAAUAAUUAGCAAUUAAGACACCCCCCUUUUAAUUAUUGCAUAAUAGGUCACUAUCCCAUGCAUUUGAUUGAUUUCCAAUAAAAUAAAGGAUCAUCACAGGGAAGAGGGUAAGAUCUUCUCUAGUCUUCAGGCAAAUCAACAUCAUUCCUGCAUUAAAGGGCAUCUCCAUCUAGUAGCUUAAACUUGUUGAAUUGAAUGUCCUUUUAAGUUUGUGAAGGAUCAUUGCUAAUGAUGUUGAUGUUAGAUCACUAAUCAAGCCGUGAUUUUUCAGAGUGCAUACUAGAAGUAUACCUAAGCUUUACCUCAAUGACAAAGCCGCUUUAAAUUUGCACCUUGUUACUGGACUAAGCUGCCUUCACAAGGAAUGGUUUGGUUGGCCGCCUUCAAGCCAGCCCAAAUGGCAAACACUUUCCCCACAAAUAAUCUACAGUAGCACAGCACAUAUGGGGGCUCCUAGUUGCAAUGAAAAUCCACAUUCCAUUAAGAAUCAGGAUUUUUUUUUUUGUUUGUUUUAUCGAAAAGAUAUUUGGAUUAAUUAAAUUUGGACCUUAAAAGCUAGAGAGAAAUUCUGAGACGCGUUUUGUAUUAUAGCUCAAAGGCGAAGCGGGGGUGCAGCCAAUGUAGAAUCAGGAAUUUAGUGAUGGGAGAUCUCAGUUUUGAAUUUUCUGGUGUCUUCAAUACUAAGAAUGAGAAAAGAAAACCUCUGUAAAUAAAAUAAAUAAAAGGAAGAGGAGGGGAGAGUAAGUCUGAGGUCUAAAUCUGGGCCGCUUCCCAGAUGGAGAACAUUUUUUGUUAACAUCAACCCAGAAAACAGUCUUUCAAAUUUCAAUGCAUCAUAUUCUAAUCUUCACAGGUGUGAUUGUGAUCAAUGGUGCAAGAACAUGAUUUCCAGACUACUAGCUCUGCUGGGUUCGGUGAACUUCCUAAGACACAGGCAGACAGCAGACCAAGCCAC